UUACUCCAUGUUUGAGGAAGUGGAAAGGUGGUGUUACAUUGAAAUGCUUCCCUCGUACAAGCUUCCGUUUGGUUCCCGUGAUUCAGCCGUUUGACAGCAAACUGAUUGUUGAUCUCUGCUGCGCAGCCUCCUGCCUGACAGCAGGGGAACAAACAGUCCAUGUGGAGUCCGUGGGCGUUUCCUGCUCUGCGACUGGGCAGCCAGACCACCACACAGCGACGCAGGAAGUCAGGACUCGCUCCAGCGCACAUCUGUGAAGAAUCCUGGCAGUCAGAGCUCAGCCCUACUCUCUUGAGUUUGUUUGAAGAAGUCUUUGAUGUGCUUUUCAUUAAUUACACCUGAUGCACCAGUGCAGAUAAAACAGCCUCUGUAGUCAAGGCCAGUUUUUAACAUAUUUUUAUACCUGCUGGCUCGCUGGCUUUUUUUUUUUUUUUUUUUGUACGUUUGGUUUUU